rfam:Mogibacterium sp. CM50 ctg120007703374, whole genome shotgun sequence.
CGCAGUAGUAACGAACCAUGAGAAGUCAGCCAAGGCCAUAGUAGUGACGAAACUCCUGUAAUGGGAGCGGAGCGAAGGGC